rnacentral:rRNA from 1 species
AUUGAACGCUGGCGGCAGGCCUAACACAUGCAAGUCGAGCGGAUGAAGGGAGCUUGCUCCUGGAUUCAGCGGCGGACGGGUGAGUAAUGCCUAGGAAUCUGCCUGGUAGUGGGGGAUAACGUCCGGAAACGGGCGCUAAUACCGCAUACGUUCUGAGGGAGAAAGUGGGGGAUCUUCGGACCUCACGCUAUCAGAUGAUCCUAGGUCGGAUUAGCUAGUUGGUGGGGUAAAGGCCUACCAAGGCGAAGAUCCGUAACUGGUCUGAGUGGAUGAUCAGUCACCCUGGAAAUGAGACACGGUCCAGACUACUACGGGAGGCAGAAGUGGGGAAUAUUGGACAAUAGGCGAAGGCCUGAACCAGCCAUGCCGCGUGUGUGAAGAAGGUAUUCGGAUUGUAAAACACUUUAAGUUGGGAGGAAGGGCAAUAAGUUAAUACCUUGCUGUUUUGACGUUACCUACAGAAUAAGCACCGGCUAACUUCGUG